rnacentral:snRNA from 1 species
AGGUCUCCAAGGUGAACAGCCUCUGGUCGA